rnacentral:rRNA from 1 species
AAAACAACCAAACUUAAAGAAUUGACGGGGGCCCGCACAAGCAGCGGAGCAUGUGGUUUAAUUCGACGCAACGCGAAGAACCUUACCUGGGCUUGACAUGUAGGUCAUACCCGUGGAAACACGGGGUCAGUUCGGCUGGACCUUCACAGGUGGUGCAUGGCUGUCGUCAGCUCGUGUCGUGAGAUGUUGGGUUAAGUCCCGCAACGAGCGCAACCCCCGUCGCAUGUUGCCAGCAUUUAGUUGGGGACUCAUGCGAGACUGCCGGUGACAAACCGGAGGAAGGUGGGGAUGACGUCAAGUCAUCAUGCCCCUUAUGUCCAGGGCUACACACGUGCUACAU